CCUACGGGGGGCAGCAGUGGGGAAUAUUGGACAAUGGGGGCAACCCUGAUCCAGCCAUGCCGCGUGUGUGAAGAAGGCCCUCGGGUUGUAAAGCACUUUCAGUGAGGAAGAACGCCUGGUGGUUAAUACCCAUCAGGAAAGAUAUCACUCACAGAAGAAGCACCGGCUAACUCCGUACCAGCAGCCGCGGUAAUACGGAGGGUGCGAGCGUUAAUCGGAAUUACUGGGCGUAAAGCGCGCGUAGGUGGCUUGAUAAGCCGGUUGUGAAAGCCCCGGGCUCAACCUGGGAACGGCAUCCGGAACUGGCAAGCUAGAGUGCAGGAGAGGAAGGUAGAAUUCCCGGUGUAGCGGUGAAAUGCGUAGAGAUCGGGAGGAAUACCAGUGGCGAAGGCGGCCUUCUGGACUGACACUGACACUGAGGUGCGAAAGCGUGGGUAGCAAACAGGAUUAGAUACCCGAGUAGUC
rnacentral:rRNA from 1 species